rnacentral:lncRNA from 1 species
UAGGAAACAAGGUGUAUGCGAGCUUUUAGCGAGCUACUACACCUGUUUCGAGCCGAGUACAAAUACAGCUGAUAUUUAAAGACACUAAACAGUUAUUGUCUUUAUCCUGCAAUUAGUUCUGUAUAUUGUUUGUGUUUUGAAAGACAUAAAAAUUAACAUAUUUAGAAUUUAUUUUCGAUUUGUAAUCCCUUGAGGCCCGCGUAGUAAUAUCAAAAUCACACAUUACGCUGAAGACGGGUUCGCAAAAAAGAAUCUCGAAUGGUCAACAAUAAUUCAUCGCUCAAGGUGAAUAAUUAUCUAUUUUAACAUAACAACUAAUUUCAACAGUAAAAACAAAUAAUAAAACAUUGUCAAAUUUGAAACAGAAGUGUACGAGUUGUCCUACGCUUCAGACUUGACAUUCACUAAACAUGCAUGCUGAAAUUGACAUGGUUAAUUUUGUAACACAAUCAUACACAUUCAAGUUUUGAAAUCGACAAUUGUCAUCGUCAUUGGAAUGCAACUGGAAUACACAUUCUGAGGUCACACAGGUUCAAACAAUACUCAGUCCGGCAGUGGGCGGAGCUUUAUAGCGAUAUCUGUA